rnacentral:rRNA from 1 species
GAUGAACGCUGGCGGCGUGCCUAAUACAUGCAAGUCGAGCGAACAGAUGAGGAGCUUGCUCCUCUGACGUUAGCGGCGGACGGGUGAGUAACACGUGGAUAACCUACCUAUAAGACUGGGAUAACUUCGGGAAACCGGAGCUAAUACCGGAUAAUAUAUUGAACCGCAUGGUUCAAUAGUGAAAGACGGUUUUGCUGUCACUUAUAGAUGGAUCCGCGCCGCAUUAGCUAGUUGGUAAGGUAACGGCUUACCAAGGCAACGAUGCGUAGCCGACCUGAGAGGGUGAUCGGCCACACUGGAACUGAGACACGGUCCAGACUCCUACGGGAGGCAGCAGUAGGGAAUCUUCCGCACUGGGCGAAAGCCUGACGGAGCAACGCCGCGUGAGUGAUGAAGGUCUUCGGAUCGUAAAACUCUGUUAUUAGGGAAGAACAAAUGUGUAAGUAACUAUGCACGUCUUGACGGUACCUAAUCAGAAAGCCACGGCUAACUACGUG